UAUAAAAGUUAAAGAAUCACAUUUCCUCCUUUCUCUAUUCUCUCACAAGGCGAAGGAAGGCUUUGCUGUUGUUUAACUCCGACCAACAUCAGCGUCACCCUCGGUCACGAAUUUGGCAACAUGUCUAAAAGACCAGCAGUUGGCAUUGAUCUCGGGAGCACCUACUCCUGCUUGGGUGUGUUCCAGCAUGGUUGAAAUCAUUGCCAACGACCAUGGCAACAGGACCACUCCAAGUUAUGUUUCCUUCACAGACUCAGACUUAUUGGUGAUGCCGUCAAUAAUCGGGUUACCAUGAACCCUGCAAACACAGUAUUCGUCAACAAUGCAGUCGUUGUCGUGCCUGCGACUCCCAGCGCCAGGCAUCCAAAGAUGCUGGCACCAUCUCAGGCCUGAAUGUACUGCAUAUCUUCAAUGAGCCAACUGCUGCUCCCAUUUCCUAUGGCUUGGAUAACUAGGUGUAUGAGGGUGAGUGGGCCACGACCAAGGACAACAACCUGUUGGGCAAGUUGGCGCUGACUGGAAUCCCCCCUGCAUCUUGCGAUGUUCUUCAGAUUGAGGUCACCUUUGACAUUGACCCUAACGACAUCAUGAAGAUGUCUGCAGCUGACAAGCACACUGGCAUGGAGGACAAGACCACUAUCACCAAUGACAAGGGUGUAUGAGGGUGAGUGGGCCACGACCAAGGACAACAACCCGUUGGGCAAGUUGGCGCUGACUGGAAUCCCCCCUGCAUCUUGCGAUGUUCUUCAGAUUGAGGUCACCUUUGACAUUGACCCUAACGACAUCAUGAAGAUGUCUGCAGCUGACAAGCACACUGGCAUGGAGGACAAGACCACUAUCACCAAUGACAAGGGUGUAUGAGGGUGAGUGGGCCACGACCAAGGACAACAACCUGUUGGGCAAGUUGGCGCUGACUGGAAUCCCCCCUGCAUCUUGCGAUGUUCUUCAGAUUGAGGUCACCUUUGACAUUGACCCUAACGACAUCAUGAAGAUGUCUGCAGCUGACAAGGGUGUAUGAGGGUGAGUGGGCCACGACCAAGGACAACAACAUGUUGGGCAAGUUGGCGCUGACUGGAAUCCCCCCUGCAUCUCGCGAUGUUCUUCAGAUUGAGGUCACCUUUGACAUUGACCCUAACGGCAUCAUGAAGAUGUCUGCAGCUGACAAGCACACUGGCAUGGAGGACAAGACCACUAUCACCAAUGACAAGGGUGUAUGAGGGUGAGUGGGCCACGACCAAGGACAACAACCUGUUGGGCAAGUUGGCGCUGACUGGAAUCCCCCCUGCAUCUUGCGAUGUUCUUCAGAUUGAGGUCACCUUUGACAUUGACCCUAACGACAUCAUGAAGAUGUCUGCAGCUGACAAGCACACUGGCAUGGAGGACAAGACCACUAUCACCAAUGACAAGGGUGUAUGAGGGUGAGUGGGCCACGACCAAGGACAACAACCUGUUGGGCAAGUUGGCGCUGACUGGAAUCCCCCCUGCAUCUUGCGAUGUUCUUCAGAUUGAGGUCACCUUUGACAUUGACCCUAACGACAUCAUGAAGAUGUCUGCAGCUGACAAGGGUGUAUGAGGGUGAGUGGGCCACGACCAAGGACAACAACAUGUUGGGCAAGUUGGCGCUGACUGGAAUCCCCCCUGCAUCUCGCGAUGUUCUUCAGAUUGAGGUCACCUUUGACAUUGACCCUAACGGCAUCAUGAAGAUGUCUGCAGCUGACAAGCACACUGGCAUGGAGGACAAGACCACUAUCACCAAUGACAAGGGUGUAUGAGGGUGAGUGGGCCACGACCAAGGACAACAACCUGUUGGGCAAGUUGGCGCUGACUGGAAUCCCCCCUGCAUCUUGCGAUGUUCUUCAGAUUGAGGUCACCUUUGACAUUGACCCUAACGACAUCAUGAAGAUGUCUGCAGCUGACAAGGGUGUAUGAGGGUGAGUGGGCCACGACCAAGGACAACAACCUGUUGGGCAAGUUGGCGCUGACUGGAAUCCCCCCUGCAUCUUGCGAUGUUCUUCAGAUUGAGGUCACCUUUGACAUUGACCCUAACGACAUCAUGAAGAUGUCUGCAGCUGACACGGACUGCUGAGAAGGAAGAGUCUGAGCACCACCAGAAGGAACAUCGCCAUGUUGUACCAAGGUGCUGGUAUGCCCGACGGCAUGGCUGGUCGAUUUCCCCGGAGCUGGUGGUGCGUGCGGCUCCUGGUGGCUGUGGGUCAUCUUAACUGACUUGAGGAAGUCGACUUGCCCAUUCCACUGUUUCUGCAACUACCUCCCCCUCACAAGCAACGUUUGAAAUGUUCUACCUGUUUGUGAUGAGUCAGUGACUCUUGUCAGUGAGAUUUUAAAGUUAGAAAAAAGGUUGCCUGAUCACACUUCUAUUGCAACUUUGUUUGCUACAGAACAGUAAUUUUCUGUUUGCUCAACUAGGCUGUCAGAUUUCACAUGGAGUAUAUUGUGCCUUUAAGACAAAAUAAAACAUGGUGACCUUCCACCUCAACUUCUAAA